UUAAGCGACUAAGCGUACACGGUGGAUGCCCUGGCAGUCAGAGGCGAUGAAGGACGUGCUAAUCUGCGAUAAGCGUCGGUGAGGUGAUAUGAACCGUUAUAACCGGCGAUUUCCGAAUGGGGAAACCCAGUGUGUUUCGACACACUAUCAUUAACUGAAUCCAUAGGUUAAUGAGGCGAACCGGGGGAACUGAAACAUCUAAGUACCCCGAGGAAAAGAAAUCAACCGAGAUUCCCCCAGUAGCGGCGAGCGAACGGGGAGGAGCCCAGAGCCUGAAUCAGUGUGUGUGUUAGUGGAAGCGUCUGGAAAGGCGCGCGAUACAGGGUGACAGCCCCGUACACAAAAAUGCACAUAUUGUGAGCUCGAUGAGUAGGGCGGGACACGUGGUAUCCUGUCUGAAUAUGGGGGGACCAUCCUCCAAGGCUAAAUACUCCUGACUGACCGAUAGUGAACCAGUACCGUGAGGGAAAGGCGAAAAGAACCCCGGCGAGGGGAGUGAAAAAGAACCUGAAACCGUGUACGUACAAGCAGUGGGAGCCUCUUAAUGGGGUGACUGCGUACCUUUUGUAUAAUGGGUCAGCGACUUAUAUUCUGUAGCAAGGUUAACCGAAUAGGGGAGCCGAAGGGAAACCGAGUCUUAACUGGGCGCUAAGUUGCAGGGUAUAGACCCGAAACCCGGUGAUCUAGCCAUGGGCAGGUUGAAGGUUGGGUAACACUAACUGGAGGACCGAACCGACUAAUGUUGAAAAAUUAGCGGAUGACUUGUGGCUGGGGGUGAAAGGCCAAUCAAACCGGGAGAUAGCUGGUUCUCCCCGAAAGCUAUUUAGGUAGCGCCUCGUGAAUUCAUCUCCGGGGGUAGAGCACUGUUUCGGCAAGGGGGUCAUCCCGACUUACCAACCCGAUGCAAACUGCGAAUACCGGAGAAUGUUAUCACGGGAGACACACGGCGGGUGCUAACGUCCGUCGUGAAGAGGGAAACAACCCAGACCGCCAGCUAAGGUCCCAAAGUCAUGGUUAAGUGGGAAACGAUGUGGGAAGGCCCAGACAGCCAGGAUGUUGGCUUAGAAGCAGCCAUCAUUUAAAGAAAGCGUAAUAGCUCACUGGUCGAGUCGGCCUGCGCGGAAGAUGUAACGGGGCUAAACCAUGCACCGAAGCUGCGGCAGCGACACUAUGUGUUGUUGGGUAGGGGAGCGUUCUGUAAGCCUGUGAAGGUGGCCUGUGAGGGUUGCUGGAGGUAUCAGAAGUGCGAAUGCUGACAUAAGUAACGAUAAAGCGGGUGAAAAGCCCGCUCGCCGGAAGACCAAGGGUUCCUGUCCAACGUUAAUCGGGGCAGGGUGAGUCGACCCCUAAGGCGAGGCCGAAAGGCGUAGUCGAUGGGAAACAGGUUAAUAUUCCUGUACUUGGUGUUACUGCGAAGGGGGGACGGAGAAGGCUAUGUUGGCCGGGCGACGGUUGUCCCGGUUUAAGCGUGUAGGCUGGUUUUCCAGGCAAAUCCGGAAAACCAAGGCUGAGGCGUGAUGACGAGGCACUACGGUGCUGAAGUGACAAAUGCCCUGCUUCCAGGAAAAGCCUCUAAGCAUCAGGUAACAUCAAAUCGUACCCCAAACCGACACAGGUGGUCAGGUAGAGAAUACCAAGGCGCUUGAGAGAACUCGGGUGAAGGAACUAGGCAAAAUGGUGCCGUAACUUCGGGAGAAGGCACGCUGAUAUGUAGGUGAAGCGACUUGCUCGUGGAGCUGAAAUCAGUCGAAGAUACCAGCUGGCUGCAACUGUUUAUUAAAAACACAGCACUGUGCAAACACGAAAGUGGACGUAUACGGUGUGACGCCUGCCCGGUGCCGGAAGGUUAAUUGAUGGGGUUAGCGGUAACGCGAAGCUCUUGAUCGAAGCCCCGGUAAACGGCGGCCGUAACUAUAACGGUCCUAAGGUAGCGAAAUUCCUUGUCGGGUAAGUUCCGACCUGCACGAAUGGCGUAAUGAUGGCCAGGCUGUCUCCACCCGAGACUCAGUGAAAUUGAACUCGCUGUGAAGAUGCAGUGUACCCGCGGCAAGACGGAAAGACCCCGUGAACCUUUACUAUAGCUUGACACUGAACAUUGAGCCUUGAUGUGUAGGAUAGGUGGGAGGCUUUGAAGUGUGGACGCCAGUCUGCAUGGAGCCGACCUUGAAAUACCACCCUUUAAUGUUUGAUGUUCUAACGUUGGCCCGUAAUCCGGGUUGCGGACAGUGUCUGGUGGGUAGUUUGACUGGGGCGGUCUCCUCCUAAAGAGUAACGGAGGAGCACGAAGGUUGGCUAAUCCUGGUCGGACAUCAGGAGGUUAGUGCAAUGGCAUAAGCCAGCUUGACUGCGAGCGUGACGGCGCGAGCAGGUGCGAAAGCAGGUCAUAGUGAUCCGGUGGUUCUGAAUGGAAGGGCCAUCGCUCAACGGAUAAAAGGUACUCCGGGGAUAACAGGCUGAUACCGCCCAAGAGUUCAUAUCGACGGCGGUGUUUGGCACCUCGAUGUCGGCUCAUCACAUCCUGGGGCUGAAGUAGGUCCCAAGGGUAUGGCUGUUCGCCAUUUAAAGUGGUACGCGAGCUGGGUUUAGAACGUCGUGAGACAGUUCGGUCCCUAUCUGCCGUGGGCGCUGGAGAACUGAGGGGGGCUGCUCCUAGUACGAGAGGACCGGAGUGGACGCAUCACUGGUGUUCGGGUUGUCAUGCCAAUGGCACUGCCCGGUAGCUAAAUGCGGAAGAGAUAAGUGCUGAAAGCAUCUAAGCACGAAACUUGCCCCGAGAUGAGUUCUCCCUGAGACUUAGAGUCUCCUGAAGGAACGUUGAAGACGACGACGUUGAUAGGCCGGGUGUGUAAGCGCAGCGAUGCGUUGAGCUAACCGGUACUAAUGAACCGUGAGGCUUAACCUU
rnacentral:rRNA from 1 species